rnacentral:rRNA from 1 species
ACGGCUCAGUAACACGUAGCUAACCUAACCUUAGGUCAAGAAUAACCUCGGGAAACUGAGGAUAAAACUUGAUAGAAAAUUUUUUUUGGAAUGAGAAAUUUUUGAAACUCGGGCCUAAGGAGGGGGCUGCGGCUGAUUAGCUAGUUGUUGGUGUAAUGGACUAACAAGGCAAUGAUCAGUAAGGGUUCUUAGCGGAAGAGCCCUGAGAAGGAAUCUGAGACACUAUUCCUAGCCUUACGGGGUGCAGCAGCUGAGGAAAUUUUACAAUGCUCGAAAGAGUGAUAAAAUAAGCCAGAGUGUUCAUUUUAAAAUGAACUUUUGUUUGAUGUAAAAAGUCAGGCGAAUAAGGACUGGGCAAGACCGGUGCCAGCCGCCGCGGUAAUCCCGGCGGUCCGAGUCGCAUCCACAAUUAUUGGGUCUAAAACAUUCGUAGCUUGUUUUGUAAGUUUCUCGUGAAAUCUCGUGUCUCAAGCACGAGGCGUGCAAGAAAUACUGCAUUACUAGAGACCGGAAGGCGUAAGGAGUAUGAGCAAGGUAGUAGUAAAAUACGUUAAUCUUGAUCAGACUAACAAUGGCGAAGGCACCUUACGAGCACGGAUCUGACAGUGAGGGAUGAAGGCCAGGAGCGCGAAAGGGAUUAGAUACCCCUGUAGUCCUGGCAGUAAACACUGCUCACUAAACAUUAGUGCCUCCUCGAGAGGCAUUAGUGCUGCAGCGAAGGCGAAGAGUGAGCUACCUGGGAAGUAUAGUCGCAAGGCCGAAACUUAAAGGAAUUGGCGGGGGAGCAC